rnacentral:rRNA from 1 species
AUUGAACGCUGGCGGCAGGCCUAACACAUGCAAGUCGAACGAGUGGCGGACGGGUGAGUAAUGUCUGGGAAACUGCCUGAUGGAGGGGGCUAACGACUGGAAACGGUAGCUAAUACCGCAUACCAUCAGAUGUGCCCAGAUGGGAUAAGCUAGUUGGUGGGGUAACGACUCACCAAGGCGACGAUCCCUAGCUGGUCUGAGAGGGUGACCAGCCACACUGGAACUGAGACACGGUCCAGACUCCGACGGGAGGCAGCAGUGGGGAAUAUUGCACAAUGGGCGCAAGCCUGAUGCAGCCAUGCCGCGUGUAUGAAGAAGGCCUUCGGGUUGUAAAGUACUGUCGGCGGAGAAGCGUUACCCGCAGAGGAAGCACCGGCUAACUCCGUGCCAGCAGCCGCGGUAAUUC